rnacentral:rRNA from 1 species
UACGAAGGGUGCAAGCGUUAAUCGGAAUUACUGGGCGUAAAGCGCGCGCAGGCGGUCCUUUAAGUCUGAUGUGAAAGCCCACGGCUUAACCGUGGAGGGUCAUUGGAAACUGAGGGACUUGAGUACAGAAGAGGAGAGUGGAAUUCCACGUGUAGCGGUGAAAUGCGUAGAGAUGUGGAGGAACACCAGUGGCGAAGGCGACUCUCUGGUCUGUAACUGACGCUGAGGUGCGAAAGCGUGGGUAGCAAACAGGAUUAGAUACCCUGGUA